rnacentral:rRNA from 1 species
CUUGACAUCCAGAGAACUUUCCAGAGAUGGAUUGGUGCCUUCGGGAACUCUGAGACAGGUGCUGCAUGGCUGUCGUCAGCUCGUGUUGUGAAAUGUUGGGUUAAGUCCGCAACGAGCGCAACCCCUAUCCUUUGUUGCCAGCGAUUCGGUCGGGAACUCAAAGGAGACUGCCGGUGAUAAACCGGAGGAAGGUGGGGAUGACGUCAAGUCAUCAUGGCCCUUACGAGUAGGGCUACACACGUGCUACAAUGGCGUAUACAAAGAGAAGCGACCUCGCGAGAGCAAGCGGACCUCAUAAAGUACGUCGUAGUCCGGAUUGGAGUCUGCAACUCGACUCCAUGAAGUCGGAAUCGCUAGUAAUCGUAGAUCAGAAUGCUACGGUGAAUACGUUCCCGGGCCUUGUACACACCGCCCGUCACACCAUGGGAGUGGGUUGCAAAAGAAGUAGAUAGCUUAACCUUCGGGAGGGCGUUUACCACUUUGUGAUUCAUGACUGGGGUGAAGUCGUAACAAGGUAAGCGUAGCGAG